AUUUAGAGGUUUAUUUCGAACAACUGGCAAUUCCAGGAAUGAUGGAAUAAAGCAUACGAAGUAGAAGGACUGGAACCUCCAGAAAAAGUACUUUAAGUUACCUACAGGUGAUCCUAGUCAGGCAAAUGAAAACAGUAGCCUAAAGUGUCAGUUUCAACCCGAAAAUAACAGCUCUGAUUUCUCAUGGCUCACACUCGUCUGAAAUGACUCGGGUAGAGGCUGAGGAAGGCUGUGUUGUUUGUCUACCUGGGACUAGUAAAAAGAGAAGAGAAAGACAUUCUUGAUUUUGGUGACUAGAGUUGUAGAUGCUGGAAGCUUUGCCACUAACAUUGAUGAACCAGAUGCAUGUCACCAGCCCAUCACGGGCACCAUGGGCCGGCACUGCCACGUUUUCCAAGGAACCUGCCAGAGCUCCUGCGGAAGCUGCUCCUCGGGCGAUGGAGUCCCUUUGCUGCUAGGCCCUUCUUCAGUCACCACAGGAUGCCUGCCAUUCAUGAACAGGAAGGAGAGGACGGGCUUUGAAUAAAAAACAGGAUCCAGGAAAUAUUUGUGAGGCCAUUUGGACUUCAGUGUGAAAUGGUGUUAAAAGAUGAAGUCAUUUAUUCAAGAAGUAAACCUCUGCCACCUGGACUGUGCUCAGACAUUUCAUUGAUUUUGUUUAAUAAACAUUUUCUGGCUUUGGGAGGUGUCUCUCUUGGUAGAGCACAGUGUCAAAGAUGGACAAGAUGGACACAUAGUCCAUUAUUUGGUAUUGUUUGUGUAUGGGAGCGGACCACAAAUUAAUGUUUGGAGAACAAUUUUGUCAUAACACACUGUUGAGGCUCAGUUGUACAGAACUGGAAAAGUCUUUCAGCUUGGCACAUGUCCUGAUUCAGCCUUUGUUUAACAUACAUUCCAAUCCGGAUUCUAUCUUCACUGGCUACAAAGACCACCUGAUACGUGCACCACGACACAGGAGCUGCUGGAGAGGGGGUAGUGUUAUCACCUCAAACCCACAGCCAUAUUUUUCAAAAGCCAGCUUAGAGAGAGGUGUACUGAUAGCUGCAUAGAGAACAUGCAGUCCAUCCAUUCUUCCCAGUGAUGUACAUUUCUCAAUCAGUAACCACGUGGUAUACCAGCCUUGAGUGUCACAUCUCCCAACCAUACCAAAUGGAUCACCUAACUGGAGGUGGGGGGGGCCCCUCAGAAAUGAGAUUUCGUAUUUACUGUAAAAUUGCCUUAUUUUUUCUUUUGAGGUGGAGUCUCACUCUGUUGCCUGGGCUGGAGUGCAAUGGUGUGAUCACUGCUCACUGCAACCUCCGCCUCCUGGGUUCAAGCAGUUCUCCUGCCUCAGCCUCCCAAGUAGCUGCAAUUACAGGCGCAUGCCACCACUCCCAGCAAAUUUUUAUAUUUUUAGUGGAGACAGGGUUUCACCAUGUUGGCCAGGCUGGUCUCAAACUCCUGACCUCAGGUGAUCUGCCCACCUUGGCCUCCCAAAGUUCUGGGAUUAAAGGUACGAGCCACCGCAACUGGCUGAGAAUCUUUUUAUUUGCUGAUUUGUCUCUUGUGUAUUUUCUUUGUUCAGAUGUCUC
rnacentral:lncRNA from 1 species